GAUGAACGCUGGCGGCGUGCCUAACACAUGCAAGUCGAACGGAGUAUCUUAUAUAGACUUUCUUAGGAGAUGAAAUAUUAGAUACUUAGUGGCGGACGGGUGAGUAACGCGUGGGUAACCUACCUCAUACAGGGGGAUAAACAACCGGAAACGGCUGCUAAAACCGCAUAACAAAGACUAAUCGCAUGAUUAAUCUUUCAAAUAUUUCAUAGGUAUGAGAUGGGGCCCGCGUCUGAUUAGCUAGUUGGUGAGAUAAAAGACCCACCAAGGCGACGAUCAGUAGCCGGCUUGAGAGAGUGACCGGCCACAUUGGGACUGAGACACGGCCCAAACUCCUACGGGGGGCAGCAGUGGGGGAUCUUGCACAAUGGGCGAAAGCCUGAUGCAGCGACGCCGCGUGAGCGAAGAAGGCCUCGGUUGUAAAGCUCUGUCUGGAGGGACGGAAGGAAGUAGACGGUACCUCCGGAGGAAGCCACGGCUAACUACGUGCCAGCAGCCGAC
rnacentral:rRNA from 1 species